rnacentral:rRNA from 1 species
UACGUAGGGGGCAAGCGUUGUCCGGAAUUAUUGGGCGUAAAGAGCACGCAGGCGGUUUGGCAAGACGGAGGUGAAAACCCGAAGCUCAACUUCGGGCCUGCAUCCGAAACUGCCCGACUAGAGGUAGGUAGGGGAGAUCGGAAUUCCCGGUGUAGCGGUGAAAUGCGCAGAUAUCAGGAGGAACACCGGUGGCGAAGGCGGAUCUCUGGGCCUUACCUGACGCUCAGGUGCGAAAGCUAGGGGAGCGAACAGG